rnacentral:rRNA from 1 species
UACGUAGGGGGCUAGCGUUGUCCGGAAUCAUUGGGCGUAAAGCGCGUGUAGGCGGUCCGGUAAGUCCGCUGUGAAAGUCGGGGGCUCAACCCUCGAAUGCCGGUGGAUACUGUCGGACUAGAGUACGGAAGAGGCGAGUGGAAUUCCUGGUGUAGCGGUGAAAUGCGCAGAUAUCAGGAGGAACACCAAUUGCGAAGGCAGCUCGCUGGGACGUUACUGACGCUGAGACGCGAAAGCGUGGGGAGCAAACAGG